AUGACCACAUCAUACUGAAACACCAGUUCCCGUACAAGCACCAAUGUUAAGCAAUGUCGAGCUUGGUCAGUACCUAGGUGGGUGACUACUUGGAAAUACCAGGUACUGUAA